rnacentral:rRNA from 1 species
ACGCUAGCUACAGGCUUAACACAUGCAAGUCGAGGGGCAGCGGGUUGAAAGCUUGCUUUCAAUGCCGGCGACCGGCGCACGGGUGCGUAACGCGUAUCAAACCUGCCUCAUACUCGGGGAUAGCCUUGCGAAAGUAAGAUUAAUACCCGAUGUUGUUGCUUUCUCGCAUGGGAGAGUAACCAUAGAUUUAUCGGUAUGAGAUGGUGAUGCGUCCGAUUAGGUAGUAGGCGGAGUAACGGCCCACCUAGCCUUCGAUCGGUAGGGGUUCUGAGAGGAAGGUCCCCCACACUGGAACUGAGACACGGUCCAGACUCCUACGGGAGGCAGCAGUGAGGAAUAUUGGUCAAUGGGCGAGAGCCUGAACCAGCCAAGUAGCGUGCAGGAUGACGGCCCUCCGGGUUGUAAACUGCUUUUAGUUGGGAAUAAAAAAAGGGACUUGUCCCUUCUUGUAUGUACCUUCAGAAAAAGGACCGGCUAAUUCCGUGCCAGCAGCCGCGGUAAUACGGAAGGUCCAGGCGUUAUCCGGAUUUAUUGGGUUUAAAGGGAGCGUAGGCGGAUUGUUAAGUCAGCGGUUAAAGGGUGUGGCUCAACCAUGCAUUGCCGUUGAAACUGGCGAUCUUGAGUGCAGACAGGGAUGCCGGAAUUCGUGGUGUAGCGGUGAAAUGCUUAGAUAUCACGAAGAACUCCGAUCGCGAAGGCAGGUGUCCGGGCUGCAACUGACGCUGAGGCUCGAAAGUGUGGGUAUCAAACAGGAUUAGAUACCCUGGUAGUCCACACAGUAAACGAUGUAUACUCGCGGUUUGCGAUAGAUUGUAAGCCGCCAAGCGAAAGCAUUAAGUAUACCACCUGGGGAGUACGCCGGCAACGGUGAAACUCAAAGGAAUUGACGGGGGCCCGCACAAGCGGAGGAACAUGUGGUU